GAUUGAAACACCGGUUCCCGUACGAUCACCGAAGUUAAGCAACGUUGAGCUUGGUCAGUACCUAGAUGG